rnacentral:rRNA from 1 species
GUAGGUGGCAAGCGUUGUCCGGAAUUAUUGGGCGUAAAGCGCGCGCAGGCGGUUCUUUAAGUCUGAUGUGAAAGCCCACGGCUCAACCGUGGAGGGUCAUUGGAAACUGAAGGACUUGAGUACAGAAGAGGAAAGCGGAAUUCCACGUGUAGCGGUGAAAUGCGUAGAGAUGUGGAGGAACACCAGUGGCGAAGGCGGCUUUCUGGUCUGUAACUGACGCUGAGGCGCGAAAGCGUGGGGAGCAAACAGGAUUAGAUACCCUGGUAGUCCACGCCGUAAACGAUGAGUGCUAAGUGUUAGGGGGGUUUCCGCCCCCCUUAGUGCUGCGGCUAACGCAUUAAGCACUCCGCCUGGGGAUACGGCCGCAAGGCUG